rnacentral:rRNA from 1 species
UACCCGCUGAACUUAAGCAUAUCAAUAAGCGGAGGAAAAGAAACCAACAGGGAUUGCCUCAGUAGCGGCGAGUGAAGCGGCAAAAGCUCAAAUUUGAAACCCUCGGGAUUGUAAUUUGAAGAUUUGGCAUUGGAGAAAGCUAACCCAAGUUGCUUGGAAUAGUACGUCAUAGAGGGUGACAACCCCGUCUGGCUAACCGUUCUCCAUGUAUUGCCUUAUCAAAGAGUCGAGUUGUUUGGGAAUGCAGCUCAAAGUGGGUGGUAAACUCCAUCUAAAGCUAAAUACUGGUGAGAGACCGAUAGCGAACAAGUACUGUGAAGGAAAGGUGAAAAGAACUUUGAAAAGAGAGUGAAAUAGUAUGUGAAAUUGUUGAUAGGGAAGGAAAUGAGUGGAGAGUGGCCGAGGUUUCAGCCGCCCCUCGUGGGCGGUGUACUGCCGACGCCGAGUCAUCGAUAGCGAGACGAGGGUUACAAAUGGGAGCGCCUUCGGGCGUUCUCCCCUAACCCUCCACACUGCCACCGACGACAUAAUCCACCCAUUUCACCCGUCUUGAAACACGGACCAAGGAGUCUAAUGGAUAUGUGAGUGUUAGGGUGGCAAACCCCAGCGCGCAAUGAAAGUGAAUGGAUUCGUUCAGAAUCGACCGAACUUGAUUAUUAUGACAGUUUUGAGUAAACACAUCCAUUGGGACCCGAAAGAUGGUGA